rnacentral:rRNA from 1 species
GCCGAACCGUGCGAACGUUGUUCGUCCUCCCUUUUCUUCAAGGGCGCGUAGGCGGGCUGCCAAGUCUGGGGUGAAAUCCCACGGCUCAACCGUGGAACUGCCUCGGAUACUGGCGACCUCGAGGGGGGUAGGGGCGUGCGGAACUGUGGGUGGAGCGGUGAAAUGCGUUGAUAUCCACAGGAACUCCGGUGGCGAAAGCGGCACGCUGGACCUCUUCUGACGCUGAGGCGCGAAAGCCAGGGGAGCAAACGGG